rnacentral:rRNA from 1 species
UACGGAGGGUGCAAGCGUUGUUCGGAUUUACUGGGCGUAAAGGGCGCGUAGGCGGCCAGCACAAGUCAGUUGUGAAAUCUCCGGGCUUAACUCGGAAAGGUCAACUGAUACUGUGCGGCUAGAGUGCAGAAGGGGCAACUGGAAUUCUCGGUGUAGCGGUGAAAUGCGUAGAUAUCGAGAGGAACACCUGCGGCGAAGGCGGGUUGCUGGGCUGACACUGACGCUGAUGCGCGAAAGCCAGGGGAGCGAACGGG